GAUAGCCAUAGAUCACUAAGGGAUCUAAGGUGGGUUGGGUUACUAAACGAACCGCCUCUGUGGUGGAAUCGUAUAUACCGCCCCAGAACAUCGCUUUUCCUACCAAUAGUAAGGCAGCGACACCCAAGAAUAAGAGAUGAUGGCCUAAAAUAAUGCCAAGUUUUUUGGGAUCGUCCCA
rnacentral:antisense_RNA from 1 species